AACCGCCAAGUACGAGACCCGUACGCUUGGUGGUGUGAGAGCCUCAACCUGAGCCAUUUGGCUCAGGUCGGGCUACUCGAU
rnacentral:misc_RNA from 1 species